rnacentral:snRNA from 1 species
GUGCUCGCUUCAGCACCACAUAUACUAAAAUUGGAACGAUGCAGAGAAGAUUAGCAUGGCCCCUGUGCAAAGAUGACAUGCAAAUUCAUGAACUGUUCCAUAUUUUU